UACAGAGGGUGCAAGCGUUAAUCGGAAUUACUGGGCGUAAAGGGCGCGUAGGUGGAUAAAUAAGUGAGAUGUGAAAUACCCGAGCUUAACUUGGGGAGGUCAUCUCAUACUGUUUGUCUAGAGUAUGGGAGAGGGAAGUGGAAUUUCUGGUGUAGCGGUGAAAUGCGUAGAUAUCAGAAGGAACAUCCGUGGCGAAGGCGACUUCCUGGCCCAAUACUGACACUGAGGCGCGAAAGCGUGGGGAGCGAACAGG
rnacentral:rRNA from 1 species